UUAAGCGACUAAGCGUACACGGUGGAUGCCCUGGCAGUCAGAGGCGAUGAAGGGCGUGCUAAUCUGCGAUAAGCGCCGGUAAGGUGAUAUGAACCGUUAUAACCGGCGAUACCCGAAUGGGGAAACCCAGUGUGAUUCGUCACACUAUCAUUAACUGAAUCCAUAGGUUAAUGAGGCGAACCGGGGGAACUGAAACAUCUAAGUACCCCGAGGAAAAGAAAUCAACCGAGAUUCCCCCAGUAGCGGCGAGCGAACGGGGAGGAGCCCAGAGCCUGAAUCAGCAUGUGUGUUAGUGGAAGCGUCUGGAAAGGCGCGCGAUACAGGGUGACAGCCCCGUACACAAAAGCGCAUGUGCUGUGAGCUCGAUGAGUAGGGCGGGACACGUGGUAUCCUGUCUGAAUAUGGGGGGACCAUCCUCCAAGGCUAAAUACUCCUGACUGACCGAUAGUGAACCAGUACCGUGAGGGAAAGGCGAAAAGAACCCCGGCGAGGGGAGUGAAAAAGAACCUGAAACCGUGUACGUACAAGCAGUGGGAGCACAGGUUUACCUGUGUGACUGCGUACCUUUUGUAUAAUGGGUCAGCGACUUAUAUUCUGUAGCAAGGUUAACCGUAUAGGGGAGCCGUAGGGAAACCGAGUCUUAACCGGGCGUUAAGUUGCAGGGUAUAGACCCGAAACCCGGUGAUCUAGCCAUGGGCAGGUUGAAGGUUGGGUAACACUAACUGGAGGACCGAACCGACUAAUGUUGAAAAAUUAGCGGAUGACCUGUGGCUGGGGGUGAAAGGCCAAUCAAACCGGGAGAUAGCUGGUUCUCCCCGAAAGCUAUUUAGGUAGCGCCUCGUGAAUUCAUCUCCGGGGGUAGAGCACUGUUUCGGCUAGGGGGCCAUCCCGGCUUACCAACCCGAUGCAAACUGCGAAUACCGGAGAAUGUUAUCACGGGAGACACACGGCGGGUGCUAACGUCCGUCGUGAAGAGGGAAACAACCCAGACCGCCAGCUAAGGUCCCAAAGUCAUGGUUAAGUGGGAAACGAUGUGGGAAGGCCCAGACAGCCAGGAUGUUGGCUUAGAAGCAGCCAUCAUUUAAAGAAAGCGUAAUAGCUCACUGGUCGAGUCGGCCUGCGCGGAAGAUGUAACGGGGCUAAACCAUGCACCGAAGCUGCGGCAGCGAACGUAUCACUUAAAGCGAUUCAGCGGGUUACGAUUGACGGAGCGAAGCGACGUCAAAGCGUAUACAAAGUCGAGUCGGUUUAAGGAUACGUUCGUUGGGUAGGGGAGCGUUCUGUAAGCCUGUGAAGGUGGCCUGUGAGGGUUGCUGGAGGUAUCAGAAGUGCGAAUGCUGACAUAAGUAACGAUAAAGCGGGUGAAAAGCCCGCUCGCCGGAAGACCAAGGGUUCCUGUCCAACGUUAAUCGGGGCAGGGUGAGUCGACCCCUAAGGCGAGGCCGAAAGGCGUAGUCGAUGGGAAACGGGUUAAUAUUCCCGUACUUGGUGUUACUGCGAAGGGGGGACGGAGAAGGCUAUGUUGGCCGGGCGACGGUUGUCCCGGUUUAAGCGUGUAGGCUGGUUUUCCAGGCAAAUCCGGAAAAUCAAGGCUGAGGCGUGACGACGAGGCACUACGGUGCUGAAGCAACAAAUGCCCUGCUUCCAGGAAAAGCCUCUAAGCAUCAGGUAACAUCAAAUCGUACCCCAAACCGACACAGGUGGUCAGGUAGAGAAUACCAAGGCGCUUGAGAGAACUCGGGUGAAGGAACUAGGCAAAAUGGUGCCGUAACUUCGGGAGAAGGCACGCUGACACGUAGGUGAAGUGAUUUACUCACGGAGCUGAAGUCAGUCGAAGAUACCAGCUGGCUGCAACUGUUUAUUAAAAACACAGCACUGUGCAAACACGAAAGUGGACGUAUACGGUGUGACGCCUGCCCGGUGCCGGAAGGUUAAUUGAUGGGGUCAGCGCAAGCGAAGCUCCUGAUCGAAGCCCCGGUAAACGGCGGCCGUAACUAUAACGGUCCUAAGGUAGCGAAAUUCCUUGUCGGGUAAGUUCCGACCUGCACGAAUGGCGUAAUGAUGGCCAGGCUGUCUCCACCCGAGACUCAGUGAAAUUGAACUCGCUGUGAAGAUGCAGUGUACCCGCGGCAAGACGGAAAGACCCCGUGAACCUUUACUAUAGCUUGACACUGAACAUUGAGCCUUGAUGUGUAGGAUAGGUGGGAGGCUUUGAAGCGUGGACGCCAGUCUGCGUGGAGCCGACCUUGAAAUACCACCCUUUAAUGUUUGAUGUUCUAACGUGGACCCGUGAUCCGGGUUGCGGACAGUGUCUGGUGGGUAGUUUGACUGGGGCGGUCUCCUCCUAAAGAGUAACGGAGGAGCACGAAGGUUGGCUAAUCCUGGUCGGACAUCAGGAGGUUAGUGCAAUGGCAUAAGCCAGCUUGACUGCGAGCGUGACGGCGCGAGCAGGUGCGAAAGCAGGUCAUAGUGAUCCGGUGGUUCUGAAUGGAAGGGCCAUCGCUCAACGGAUAAAAGGUACUCCGGGGAUAACAGGCUGAUACCGCCCAAGAGUUCAUAUCGACGGCGGUGUUUGGCACCUCGAUGUCGGCUCAUCACAUCCUGGGGCUGAAGUAGGUCCCAAGGGUAUGGCUGUUCGCCAUUUAAAGUGGUACGCGAGCUGGGUUUAGAACGUCGUGAGACAGUUCGGUCCCUAUCUGCCGUGGGCGCUGGAGAACUGAGGGGGGCUGCUCCUAGUACGAGAGGACCGGAGUGGACGCAUCACUGGUGUUCGGGUUGUCAUGCCAAUGGCACUGCCCGGUAGCUAAAUGCGGAAGAGAUAAGUGCUGAAAGCAUCUAAGCACGAAACUUGCCCCGAGAUGAGUUCUCCCUGAGACUUAGAGUCUCCUGAAGGAACGUUGAAGACGACGACGUUGAUAGGCCGGGUGUGUAAGCGCAGCGAUGCGUUGAGCUAACCGGUACUAAUGAACCGUGAGGCUUAACCUU
rnacentral:rRNA from 1 species